rnacentral:rRNA from 1 species
AUACGGAGGGGGCUAGCGUUGUUCGGAAUCACUGGGCGUAAAGCGCGCGCAGGCGGCUUGAUAAGUUGGAUGUGAAAGCCUACGGCUCAACCGUAGAACUGCAUCCAAAACUGUCAAGCUAGAGUCUGGGAGGGGAAGAUGGAAUUAGUUGUGUAGGGGUAAAAUCCGUAGAGAUAACUAGGAAUACCAAAAGCGAAGGCGAUCUUCUGGAACAGUACUGACGCUGAGGCGCGAAAGCGUGGGGAGCAAACAGGAUUAGAAACCCGAGUAGUCC